UACGAAGGGGGCUAGCGUUGCGCGGAAUCACUGGGCGUAAAGGGUGCGUAGGCGGGUCUUUAAGUCAGGGGUGAAAUCCUGGAGCUCAACUCCAGAACUGCCUUUGAUACUGAGGAUCUUGAGUUCGGGAGAGGUGAGUGGAACUGCGAGUGUAGAGGUGAAAUGCGCAGAUAUCAGGGAGAACACCCGUGGCUAAGGCGGUUCUCUGGGACGGUACUGACGCUGAGACGCGAAAGCGUGGGGAGCGAACAGG
rnacentral:rRNA from 1 species